GAGAAGGAAGGGGGGAAAGCCUUCCCAGUUUAGUGUUCUCAGAGUAUGAGAUCAUGGCACACGGCAGCCAAAAUGAGUCCAGCUUCUGAGAGGAUUACUGGACAUGAUGACAAGUUCAGGAAACAAGAGGAGGAGAUGGGGACAGAUCUACAAGGAGUGGGAGGACAGAAACCCCUGAAAACCAAACAGCUUAAAUUGGAAACAGAACUGGGGAAAUGAGAUAGAGAGAAGAUGCAUCCUGGACGGGCCCGGGGGGCUCCUUCACCCUUCCUUCGUGGACUGCGGAAGAAACCCUGGGUUCUGUCUGGCUGGGGCUGGAACGGUCUUUCGGAUGAAGUGGGCGGCAUUCGCUGUGCCCCUUCCCCAACCCAGAACUUUGAUGUAUUCUCAGCACGCAAACCAUCCACUUGCGCCAGUGCGACUGAGAGGAAAGGAAAACACUCCUGACAAACUCAGGGGCUUUGGGAGAUGUGCUCUAGCCACCAGAGUGGAGACUGGGCCCCCGUGACACUGUGCCAUUUCUGUAAGAAGGGGGCCCUUGUCCUUCUAGGGCCCCACCUCCUUGACCCCCUCUUCUCCCUCCUGUAUGUUAUCAUCUUUGCUGAAACAACUUCUUCUACAAUUAAUAUUUUCGAAAUCACCCUUGCUUUCAGCAAACCCCUUCCUGAAAAGAACAGUUGGGAUAGCUCAAAGAUACAAUAAACCUCUGGGCAUGUACAGAGUGCUUUCUUGCUCAGCUUGGCAUCAGCACCAGCCUGUUUGAAGAGGUCAGAGAAACGGAGGAAAAAACUUGGCUCUCCUUUAAUGGCAGUCUGAUGACACACCAAAAACUUGGAAAAACAUAAUAGCGAAUCUUGCACUGCCGUGAAAUGCAGCAGCUUCCCUCAACUGCUGUUCUCCAGAUGUUCUGGAGUACAAAUCCCAUCGGCCACAGUCAGGAUGGAGCUAAGAGAGGUCUGACUCCAAUGCACCUGGAGGGCACCAGGUUGGGGAAGGUUCAAAUAUACCAUCCGUGACUAUGCUGGGCUGCUUUUCAUGGCUGCAUAGUCCUAGUUCUUGCAAAACCAGCAUACAGAAAACGUUGCAAAAUGUGGCUUCAGGAAUCUAACCCUUUGUAUUGCAUGCUUUAUGGAUUUAUUGACCCUUGUGAAUUAACCGGGGGGGGGGGGCGGUUAUAGCACCUGUUCCUAUAAAGGGUUUUUUGAAGAAUCACACCUUCCCCCCCUUUUGCAAUGCAGCUGCUUGUGGGACUUUCGGUGGCCAUUUGCUGGCUGCAGUGAAAACAACUGUUCUCUGUGCACAAUGGUAGAAUUGACACACAGACUAGGGGGCAGGGGGGCGCCUGGUCCUCCUUCAGCAACCCCAAUAAAGUGCAUUAGUGCUGACCCCAACCCAAUUCUUUGCUCCUCCAUCUGAAAAGUUUUAAAGCUUUUGAAGGCAUUAGUUCUCCCCCACACACACACACAAGUUGGCACAGAACAGCACCUCUAUCAAGCCCAUUUUACAGACGAGGAAACUGAGUCUCAGAUCAUGGGAAUAAAACAAUGGGCCGGGGAGAGGGAACCUUUGCUUCCCCCUCUCCUGUAAUGACUGAGUAGCAACCGUCCCAGGAGACACGGGAAAUAAUUAAAUAAUUAAGAUGACCUCAGCGCCCUCGUUAACUUAUGGAACUCAUUGCCACAGGAUGAGGAAAUCUGCCCGGACCCUGACGCUUUGCUUUCUGGAGGAGGCUGGACAAAUUCCUGGAGACCAAAAGACCACAGAGAUAAACUGAACCGCCGUGUUCAGAGUUAGUCUGUCUCCCAAACAGAAGAUGCCGGACAAACUAGGCAGGGAAUCUGUUGACUAGCUGAUUCCCCGUGGCUCUUGGCUGGCUGCUGACAGAAACUGUAUUCUUUGCUCUGAUCCACAAAGGCAGUUCUUACGAAGCAAGCAAUCUAAGGAAAGAUCAGAGAACUGUAAUCUGCGGUAUCUUAAAAACAAAAGUACAUUGUCCUUCCACAGAAAGCCUCUCUGAGCACAAAGAAAGCCCCAAAGGGCAUGUCAAAACAUCAGGGGACGAAAUGGGGAAAUAAAAUUGUCAGUGCCAGUAAGUUAAACAAAAAACAAAAAAGAAGAAGGAGGAAAAGAACCACACGCAAUUAAAGAGAAGUACCACAGAUCAGUUUCAAAACUUGAAGGUGAAUCAUAGAAAUCCAACACGACAUAAAUAAAGCCUAGUAGCUCGGCGCUCCUGGGGUCCUGCUUCCAGGCUCCCCGGCCCUUCCUGAGAAGAGUGGCACCCAUGUGCCACCAACUCGAGUGGGUCUCCUGCCAGUGUUGAAUGAGGGUUCAGUAGGGAUACUAAACCACUCACAAGGAAGUGAAGCACAGAGACUCUGGAAGAACAAUUUUCACCCACGUUCACCCUGUAUGUCCAUACCUUGGGAACCCCACAUUGCCAGGGGGUGCUGAAUUUCCUGUACAGAGGUAGGUAAAUAAUGGGAUUCUACAGAAACACAAAAACUGAAGUGGCACAGUUUUGACAGCUGCCAAGAAAUCUCAGCUUUUGCUUCUUCCUUUUUUUUUCCUUUUCAAGCAAGGAAAGCAAGUUUCUAGUCCCUAAGAUUGAAGCAAUAUCAACAAAAGCACAGAGACGAGGCUUCUGCUAACUCAGGGAAAUGGCUAAUACUUCCAGUAACUGGGGAGGAGCUUCAGAAACAUUGUUCCUCCUAUGCAUAAGAAAUUAUAUGGGUAUGGUAAAACAGAAUGAAAAGGGCAGGGUCAGUUAAGCAGAUGCGAAAAGCACUCUCCAGGUGCAUAAUUUAUGUAGGCUGUAGAAUGCAGUUAUUCACAAAGCUGAAUAUGAAAUACCCAGGCACAAAACUUGGGGGGAAAGCACACAAAGGCAGAGCAGUGCGGUGAGCAGUGUAGUAUAGUGGUUGGAGUGCUGAGCUUCUGGUUCUAGUGCCCCUUCAGCCUUGACUCUCAGCCUUGACUGAGCUUGGCUUACCUUUCAGGGUUGUUGUGAGGCUAAAAUGGGAAGGAGGUGCCUGUAAGUUGUCUCGAGGUCCUUGCAAGAGGAAAAAAAGUGGGAUGGAAGCUUAAAAGAAUAAAAACAGCCUGACUAUCCCUGGGUCGCCAGAAAAUUCCAGCGUGGCACACAGAGAACGCAUCACCCCAAGAAAGCAGGAAAGGGACGGCCUAGACAAGAAAGGCAGAGUUCGUGGACGUGUGAGCCGGGGAAAUUUCAUUAAGCCCCUGCUUCAUCUCGACUUCAUUCUGAACUGCAACAGAAGGGCUCUGCUGGCUUUUCUGAAUUCCCUGGCUUCCCGUCAAGGCUGCCUUUGCCAACAAUGACUGUAUGUGCUUGUAUUUCACAGCGAUUGCAAUCUCCCUUUUUCUUUCUCACAGAAGCGCCCAGCAUUCUUUCGGCGGGCUCCCCGGGCAGGCAGGGCAGAG